rnacentral:rRNA from 1 species
GUGGGGAAUAUUGGGCAAUGGGCGAAAGCCUGACCCAGCAACGCCGCGUGAAGGAAGAAGGUCUUCGGAUCGUAAACUUCUAUCCUUGGUGAAGAUAAUGACGGUAGCCGAGAAGGAAGCCCCGGCUAACUACGUGCCAGCAGCCGCGGUAAUACGUAGGGGGCAAGCGUUGUCCGGAAUGAUUGGGCGUAACGGGCGCGUAGGCGGCCUGGUAAGUCUGGAGUGAAAGUCCUGCUUUUAAGGUGGGAAUUGCUUUGGAUACUGUCGGGCUUGAGUGCAGGAGAGGUAAGUGGAAUUCCCGGUGUAGCGGUGAAAUGCGUAGAGAUCGGGAGGAACACCAGUGGCGAAGGCGACUUACUGGACUGUAACUGACGCUGAGGCGCGAAAGUGUGGGGAGCAAACAGGAUUAGAUACCCUAGUAGUCC